rnacentral:lncRNA from 1 species
GGGACGGCUUGGCUCAGAGCUGCUCACAGCCCGGGCCAGGGCUUACGAGCUCCCGCGCCCUGCUAACAGGUUACAGUGCAAGAGGGAUGCACACGGCAAACAGGAUCAGGGAUUUAAAGCGAAAAAGAGAGUGAAGCGUGCAGGGCAUCUGUGCAGGGCUGCCCUGCAGACUCAGGGAGCCCUCGGCGCGCUGCUCGCAUCCCAAAUCCAGGGGUUUUCCAGGCGGGCGGUCCCGGCGGGGCAGCGCUGCCCCCCAGCGCCGGGAGCCGCCCGCGCUCAGCCCCGGCCAGGACCGGCUGCGGACCGCGCACGGCUUUCCUGGGAGCAGAACUGCACACGCUCAAUGUUUGUAAGAUACUUCAUCCAUUUGUGUGAGGCUUUGAGAGAAAGCAUCCACCUUGAUCAGUGAUGAGCAAGAAGCCCACGCAGCAGCACAGCAUGGAAGACUACCAAUAAUGCAGUAGCUGUAAGCAUUAAUGUCUUUUUCUGUGAAAGAUUUACAGACUAACAGAUUUUUCAAUACAGCCACAGCAUGCUUUCCUCUGUCCCUGAACUAAUUACACCUUUCAAGGAGAAGUAGACAAGCUAUAUCUUUUACUAACAGGAGCAUGCACAUCAAAAACUCUUAGCUGCAAAACACCAGAAUCAAGAUUUUAAUUUUUAAGGAAAGAGAAAAGAUACAAACAAACAAGUCUGCUCACCCCCACACUACAACAAACAAAUCCCUCUAACUACCUUACAUACGGUAAUAAAAACCUUUUUUAAUAGAGAGAUAGCA